GUGUCAGCAGCCGCGGUAAUACGGGGGGGGCAAGCGUUGUUCGGAAUUACUGGGCGUAAAGGGCCAGUAGGCGGCCAACUAAGUCCGACGUGAAAUCCCAAGGCUUAACCUUGGAACUGCGUCGGAUACUGGAUGGCUUGAAUUCGGGAGAGGGAUGCAGAAUUCCAGGUGUAGCGGUGAAAUGCGUAGAUAUCUGGAGGAAUACCGGUGGCGAAGGCGGCAUCCUGGACCGAGAUUGACGCUGAACGGCGAAAGCUAGGGGAGCAAACGGGAUUAGAUACCCCAGUAGUCC
rnacentral:rRNA from 1 species